GGAAGUCCCGCCCCAUCCUGCCAGGCCUUGGCUUAGCUCGCCUCUCCUCACUUUCUUUCUGCGGGAGCUCGCUGCCGGCGUCCAGGUGUCCUGACACGCCUCGCAAGGUGACCUGUACUGUCAAAUAGUACUACAUUUAUCAGACGUAUAUAAUCCAAAAUAAUUUGUCCACCUAUAAAACGCUAAUUUACCUCGGAAUUCUCUUGCAGAUGUUCACACAAUUUAUGGCACACCAGCAGGAUCUUAACUGGACCACCAGGGAAUUCUCUACAGUAUCUUCUGAAGAACAGAAGUUUUUAACUUUGGUGGAUUCUUAACCACUGCGCCACCAGGUCUUAAGAAAGAAGACCGUUAAAGCUGAGGGGAGCAGAUGGUGGAAGCGAGGUCAAGAAUAGGAAUCAGCACCUGGAAUCCUAAAAGGCUGCAGUGCAGUGGGAAGUUGGAACACAGGAGUUCAGCAUGCAGAACUACCCCCACCAGAGAUGCAACCCACAGUAGAAGCUCAGAGUCUUAACCACUGGACCACUAGGAAGUCCUGGAUUUUGACUAUUUUAAUAGUACACGGGCCUCUCACUGUUGUGGCCUCUCCCGUUGCUGGAGCACAGGCUCUGGACGCGCAGGCUCAGUGGCCAUGGCUCACAGGCCCAGCCACUGCGCAGCUUGUGGGAUCUUCCCGGACCGGGGCACGAAACUGUGUCCCCUGCAUCGGCAGGCGGACUCUCAACCACUUCGCCACCAGGGAAGCCCCCUCAUUGUGGUUUUGAUUUGCACUUCCCUAAUGAUUAGUGAUGUUGAGCAUCUUUUCAUGUGCUUAUUGACCAUCUGUAUAUCUUUUUUGGAGAAAAAGUCCAUUCAAGUCCUUUGCUCAUUUUUAAUUGGUUUGUUUGUUUUUCUGUUGAUGAGUUGUAGGAGUUCUUUGUAUUUUGGAUAUUAAUCCUUUAUCAGGUAUUUGCAAAUAUUUUCUCCCACUCCAUGGGUUGUCUUUUCACUCUGUUGAUAGUGUUCUUUGAUGCACAAAGUGUUUUGUUUUUUUUUAUAAAUUUAUUUAUUUACUUAUUUAUUUUUGGCUGUCUCGGGUCUUCAUUUCUGUGCGAGGGCUUUCUCUAUUCGUGGCAAGUAGGGGCCACUCUUCAUCGUGGUGCGCGGGCCUCUCACUGUCGCAGCCUCUCUUGUUGUGGAGCACAGGCUCCAGACACACAGGCUCAGUAGUUGUGGCUCAUGGGCCUAGUUGCUCCGCGGCAUGUGGGAUCUUCUCAGACCAGGGCUCAAACUCGUGUCCCCUGUAUUGGCAGGAAGAUUCUCAGCCACUGCGCCACCAGGGAAGCCCCACAAAGUGUUUUUAAUUUUGAUGAAGUCCAAUUUAUUUAUUUUUUCUUUUGUUGCCUGUGGUUUUGGUGUUGUAUCCAAGAAAUCAUUGCCAAAUCCAAUGUCAUAAAGCUUUUCUUCUACUAUGUUUUCUUCUAAGAGAUUUAUAGUUUUAGCUUCUAUGUUUAGAUCUUUCAUCCAUUUUGAGUUUUUUUUUUUUUUUUUUUUUUUUUUUUUUGCGGUACGUGGGCCUCUCACUGUUGUGGCAUCUCCCGUUGCAGAGCACAGGCUCCAGACGUGCAGGCUCAGCGGCCAUGGCUCACGGGCCCAGCCACUCCGCAGCAUGUGGGAUCUUCCCGGACCAGAGCACAAACCCGCAUCCCCUGCAUCGGCAGGCGGACUCUCAACCACUGCGCCACCAGGGAAGCCCCUUGAGUUAAUUUUUGUAUACGGUGUACGAGGGAUUCACGGAGACAAUAGACUAAUUUAACCUCAAGGAAUAAUAACAUUGAUGGCGGAAUUUCAGACGCUGUAGUUAUCACUCAAGCAAAGACUUUUUCUGGUGUCUCUCAAAUCACAACAUGCAGUUGGGAGAGGCAAUCCCUUGUGUGUCCUGGACAUCCCUGCAGAGGGUACCAACUGCGAGACUUAUCCCAUGUUAUUGAGCAGUUUCGAUAGUCAGAGGAGCAACUAAGUAGCUCAAGAUGUCAAAGAAGGAACUGCAUAUCUAUCAGUUCAACUCUCAGCUGCAAUAAGGCCACCUAUGGUAUCGUAAUAAACUGAAAUGUUUUUAUUAUCUUUUUUGCCUUUCCAAGAGAGGCAGUCUAAUGAUGAAUACCGACCUCAAUGCUUACUCACCUUGGGACCUUUCUGAGCAUCAGUGACUCAUCUACAGAAUGGGAUAAAACCACCAGGGCAAUGAAGAAAAUAAAGAGAAAAGCCACAGAACACAGAGUAUUUGGUUAAUGCUAGUCUACUUGGAUCAGAAUAUUAUUUGAGAGGAGGAGGAAAACCCAUUUUCUCUUCCCACGUUGGAUGAUGUGACCCCUGCAGUUUUUAAAAUAAAUUUAUUUAUUUAUUUA